rnacentral:rRNA from 1 species
GAGUUUGAUCCUGGCUCAGGAUGAACGCUGGCGGCGUGCUUAACACAUGCAAGUCGAGCGAAGCACUUAAGUUUGAUUCUUCGGAUGAAGACUUUUGUGACUGAGCGGCGGACGGGUGAGUAACGCGUGGGUAACCUGCCUCAUACAGGGGGAUAACAGUUAGAAAUGACUGCUAAUACCGCAUAAGACCACGGUACCGCAUGGUACAGUGGUAAAAACUCCGGUGGUAUGAGAUGGACCCGCGUCUGAUUAGGUAGUUGGUGGGGUAACGGCCUACCAAGCCGACGAUCAGUAGCCGACCUGAGAGGGUGACCGGCCACAUUGGGACUGAGACACGGCCCAGACUCCUACGGGAGGCAGCAGUGGGGAAUAUUGCACAAUGGAGGAAACUCUGAUGCAGCGACGCCGCGUGAAGGAUGAAGUAUUUCGGUAUGUAAACUUCUAUCAGCAGGGAAGAAAAUGACGGUACCUGACUAAGAAGCCCCGGCUAACUACGUGCCAGCCGCCGCGGUAAUAC